GGUCCCUGACACUUGGCGAAGUAGGAGCCCUGUGUGAUCGUGCGUCUGAGUCUGGGCUGAGACCAGUCCUGGCCAGGGCAGUUACCAGGACGGUCUCCGGAGGCCGGGAUUCGCGGAGGGUCCACCAGCAGGAAGAAACCCCAAGAGGAAGAAACCUCAGACAGAUCGCCGGCGAGGCAGCGCGGGAUCCCAGCCUCAGGCGUGCGCGGACGGUGUGCGGCGCACACAACCAAGCUUAGGAGCCGACUGUUAAGAUGCCCCAGUGACACGGACAAGUUUCUCCUCUGCAACCCAAUGAGAGCUGCUGACCACGAGAGCAUCGCGGGACCGCCAAAGGAUUCUGGAAAAUGUGGUCCCGGGUGGCCAGUGUGCGCUGACCUUCACCUGAAGGUACGGCUUGAAGGAAACUUCUGGAGGGUGGGGUGGUGUUGAAGAGAAGGCACAAUUGUCACCAUUUUGUUCAACAUGGGCGUUUUCUUUGUGCAUUGAUUUGCAUUUUUAAAGAGUCUCGCUCCGUCACCCAGGCUGGAGUGCAAUGGCAAGAUCUCAGCUCACUGAAGCCUCCACCUUCCGGGUUCAAGCGAUUCUCCUGCCUCAGCCUCCCAAGUAGCUGGGAUUACAGGCGUGUGCCACCAUACCCGGCUAAUUUUUGUAUUUUUAGUAGAGACGGGGUUUCGCCAUGUUGGCCAGCCUGGUCUCAAACUCCUGACCUCAGGUGAUACCCCCACCUCAGUCUCCCAAAGUGCUGGGAUUACAGGUGUGAGCCACCAGGCCCGGCCAAGCUGAACAGUUCUAAGCUGUUAGGAUCAUUGCCUCUAUUAUCACCAUGACAUCAGGUCACCACCAAACCGUCAAGUGCUAAACAGACAGAAUGUUUCCACUCCUGAUCCACUGUGUGGAGAAGCACAGAGCUUACCCA
rnacentral:lncRNA from 1 species